GGGCGCUUAGCUCAGCUGGUUAGAGCGUCACGUUUACACCGUGGAUGUCGGAGGUUCGAAUCCCCCAGCGCCUA
rnacentral:tRNA from 1 species